AGAGUUUGAUCAUGGCUCAGAACGAACGCUGGCGGCAUGCCUAACACAUGCAAGUCGAACGCGGGGCUUCGGCCCUGAGUGGCGCACGGGUGAGUAACGCGUGGGAACCUGCCCCGAGGUGGGGGAUAACCGAUGGAAACGUCGGCUAAUACCGCAUGAGACCUGAGGGUGAAAGAUUUAUCGCCUUGGGAGGGGCCCGCGUCGGAUUAGCUAGUUGGUGGGGUAACGGCCUACCAAGGCGAUGAUCCGUAGCUGGUCUGAGAGGAUGAUCAGCCACACUGGGACUGAGACACGGCCCAGACUCCUACGGGAGGCAGCAGUGGGGAAUAUUGGACAAUGGGGGCAACCCUGAUCCAGCAAUGCCGCGUGAGUGAUGAAGGCCUUAGGGUUGUAAAGCUCUUUCGGCGGGGACGAUGAUGACGGUACCCGCAGAAGAAGCCCCGGCUAACUUCGUGCCAGCAGCCGCGGUAAUACGAAGGGGGCAAGCGUUGUUCGGAAUUACUGGGCGUAAAAGGGCGCGCAGGCGGCUUGUUAAGUCAGAUGUGAAAGCCCCGGGCUCAACCUGGGAAUAGCAUUUGGGACUGAUGGGCUAGAGAUCGGGAGAGGAGAGUGGAAUUCCCAGUGUAGAGGUGAAAUUCGUAGAUAUUGGGAAGAACACCGGUGGCGAAGGCGGCUCUCUGGACCGAUACUGACGCUGAGGCGCGAAAGCGUGGGGAGCAAACAGGAUUAGAUACCCUAGUAGUCC
rnacentral:rRNA from 1 species